rnacentral:lncRNA from 1 species
GCUUCUCAUUUAUUGCAUAGAUUAGGUUCGUUGCUUGAAAAUUGUCUCUCUUAUACUUAGUAUUGUUUUUUGCACUUACAACUAAAUCAUGGUACUUGAUUGUUUUACAUAUUCUUGAAUUUAGGGCCUAUUUGGAUAAUCCUAUGAAAUCCAGCAGGAUUCACAGGACCAUGGGCCAGGGCAUACCUAUAUUCACAGCAUUCACAGGAAUACCUUC